UACGGGGGGGGCAAGCGUUGUUCGGAAUUACUGGGCGUAAAGGGCUCGUAGGCGGCCAACUAAGUCAGACGUGAAAUCCCUCGGCUUAACCGGGGAACUGCGUCUGAUACUGGAUGGCUUGAGUUUGGGAGAGGGAUGCGGAAUUCCAGGUGUAGCGGUGAAAUGCGUAGAUAUCUGGAGGAACACCGGUGGCGAAGGCGGCAUCCUGGACCAACACUGACGCUGAGUGAGCGAAAGCUAGGGGAGCAAACAGG
rnacentral:rRNA from 1 species